rnacentral:ncRNA from 1 species
UGCACGAUAGUCGUUAAUUUGUAACGUAAGGUAUUGGGUCAAGUCCUACAAUGAGCACAACCCUUGUGUCUAGUUGCCAAUGUUGAGUUUGGAACUUCAACGGACUAUUGUUGAUAAGCCGAAGGAUGGUGAGGAGGAUGUUAAGUCAUCAUG